AUUGAACGCUGGCGGCAUGCCUUACACAUGCAAGUCGAACGGCAGCACGGGUGCUUGCACCUGGUGUCGAGUGGCGAACGGGUGAGUAAUACAUCGGAACAUUUCCUGUAGUGGGGGAUAGCCCGGCGAAAGCCGGAUUAAUACCGCAUACGAUCUACGGAUGAAAGCGGGGGACCUUCGGGCCUCGCGCUAUAGGGUUGGCCGAUGGCUGAUUAGCUAGUUGGUGGGGUAAAGUCCUACCAAGGCGACGAUCAGUAGCUGGUCUGAGAGGACGACCAGCCAAACUGGGACUGAGACACGGCACAGACUCCUACGGGAGGCAGCAGUGGGGAAUUUUGGACAAUGGGCGAAAGCCUGAUCCAGCAAUGCCGCGUGUGUGAAGAAGGCCUUCGGGUUGUAAAGCACUUUUGUCCGGAAAGAAAUCCUUGGCCCUAAUACGGUCGGGGGAUGACGGUACCGGAAGAAUAAGCACCGGCUAACUACGUG
rnacentral:rRNA from 1 species